GGGGAUGUAGCUUAGCUGGGAGAGCGCCUGCCUUGCACGCAGGAGGUCAUCGGUUCGAAUCCGAUCAUCUCCA
rnacentral:tRNA from 1 species